UACGUAGGGUGCAAGCGUUGUCCGGAAUUAUUGGGCGUAAAGAGCUCGUAGGCGGUCUGUCGCGUCGGUCGUGAAAACUUGGGGCUUAACCCUGAGCUUGCGGUCGAUACGGGCAUGACUGGAGUUCGGCAGGGGAGACUGGAAUUCCUGGUGCAGCGGUGAAAUGCGCAGAUAUCAGGAGGAACACCGGUGGCGAAGGCGGGUCUCUGGGCCGAUACUGACGCUGAGGAGCGAAAGCGUGGGGAGCAAACAGG
rnacentral:rRNA from 1 species